rnacentral:tRNA from 1 species
GCCUGGGUGGCUCAGUGGGUUAAGCGUCCGACUUCAGCUCGGGUCAUGGCCUCGCGGUUUGUGAGUUCGAGCCCCACGUCAGGCU